rnacentral:rRNA from 1 species
AUGGCCAUGAGCUUGACCAUAAGAGACGGGCAGCUCUCGCUGAGAUGUUGUAAGCCGUCGGUGGCCACGGUGGCCCUCAGAUUUGCCGGCAGGGCGAGAAAAUUGAAGCACGCCUUCUUCAGCCCCUCACAGUGGUGCCGCUCGGCCAGCAUGAGGAUGGUCGCCCCUCUGCCAACAUCGAUGUACUUGCACAGCUUCUCCUCGCAGAUCAGCUUCAGCCGCUCCAUGCCGUAUCUGUCCGCCGCGACGAGCAGAUGCUGGCAGGUGACAUCCUCCUCUUCCUUGCGCAUGUCUGGCAAGGAGCCAGUAUACGCGUAA